CGAUUAAGUGCCUUGGAACAGGCUGCCGUAGAGGGUGAGAGCCCCGUGAAUCGCUGGAGACCGAUCAAUUAGUGCCCGCCGAAGAGUCGAGUUGUUUGGGAAUGCAGCUCUAAGUGGGUGGUAUAUUCCAUCUAAGGCUAAAUAUUAGCGAGAGACCGAUAGCAAACAAGUACAGUGAUGGAAAGAUGAAAAGAACUUUGGAAAGAGAGUGAAAUAGUACGUGAAAUUGUUGAAAGGGAAGGGUAUUUGAUCCGACAUGGUGUUUAGCAGCGGCCCGUUCCUCGUGGAUGGGUGCACCUGGUUUACACUGGGCCAGCAUCGGUUCUGGGAGCCAUAUACGGGGUUCGUGAAUGUGGCCCUUCGAUUCUGUCGGAGGGUGUUAUAGCGCGGACA
rnacentral:rRNA from 1 species